AUAUCUUGAUCUUCUAUCCCAUCAUCAUUUAAAACACCUGAUCCAAAUCCACCGCGCAGAUUUUUUGCCAUUCCAACUGGUUUUCUUUCCAGCUGAAAAACAUCGUCCGCUUGAUACCCGAUACCGUGAUAAGCUUGGUUGGUUAACUUAGUGUCAUCAUAAUACCCUUGAAAUGGAGAUAUAACAAAAUCAUGACCGUUCCAUCCAAGAUUUUUUAACAUUUUUUCGCCAAUGCUAUCGUCCCUAUUUGAGAAUUCUCUAAGUAGAGGAUCAUCAAUUGGUAUAGAUGUAUCAAUCGUAUUUAUUUUCGAAGUAUAAACUUUACUAAGCUCUUGGUCAGCACGAUCUUCCUCGUCCAUAAUAUCGUCAAUAGUCAUUCCAUGCACACUUUUGUUUUCAUUCCUUGAACUUUUCCAAGAUUUAGGUUGCCAACCCUCUUUUGAACCAACCGUAUUAAAAUAGCCAGCAGAAAAUCCACCAGUAAAUGCACCAUGAAAUCUCUUUCUAUUACGCUCAUCCCUGGCUUCUUGUUUCCAAACAGGAACUCCUUGAUUAAUUCUGGACGGCUCAAGAUCAAAAGGGGAGCCAUAAACUACAUAAGGGUGCCGAUGAACAUCGACAUUGCUUCUUUUUCUUGAAUUGGCAUACAUUUUAAAACAAGAAGUAAUCGUGAUCCGUAGUUAAACUGAAAAAAAAAAAAUUCAAA